rnacentral:ncRNA from 1 species
ACAAAAGCAAUGAUGGGGAGAGUAUUCCAGGCUUAUUUUGCAGAGAGCCGGUGGUUGCUGUGAACCGGUAAAUAACCUUGAUGAAAGUCACCCCGAAGCUGCCGUCUGAAAACUGCCACAGUUAUUAGGCACGGCCGGUUCCUGCCCGUUACAUGCAGGUUGAACCUAAGUCCGGUUAUACCGGAGAAUAAGGGUGGUACCGCGGAGGAAUACUCUCGCCCCUUUC